rnacentral:rRNA from 1 species
AUUGAACGCUGGCGGCAGGCCUAACACAUGCAAGUCGAACGGUAACAGGAAGAAGCUUGCUUCUUUGCUGACGAGUGGCGGACGGGUGAGUAAUGUCUGGGAAACUGCCUGAUGGAGGGGGAUAACUACUGGAAACGGUGGCUAAUACCGCAUAACGUCGCAAGACCAAAAAGGGGGACCUUCGGGCCUCUUGCCAUCGGAUGUGCCCAGAUGGGAUUAGCUAGUAGGUGGGGUAACGGCUCACCUAGGCGACGAUCCCUAGCUGGUCUGAGAGGAUGACCAGCCACACUGGAACUGAGACACGGUCCAGACUCCUACGGGAGGCAGCAGUGGGGAAUAUUGCACAAUGGGCGCAAGCCUGAUGCAGCCAUGCCGCGUGUAUGAAGAAGGCCUUCGGGUUGUAAAGUACUUUCAGCGGGGAGGAAGGGAGUAAAGUUAAUACCUUUGCUCAUUGACGUUACCCGCAGAAGAAGCACCGGCUAACUCCGUGCCAGCAGCCGCGGUAAUACGGAGGGUGCAAGCGUUAAUCGGAAUUACUGGGCGUAAAGCGCACGCAGGCGGUUUGUUAAGUCAGAUGUGAAAUCCCCGGGCUCAACCUGGGAACUGCAUCUGAUACUGGCAAGCUUGAGUCUCGUAGAGGGGGGUAGAAUUCCAGGUGUAGCGGUGAAAUGCGUAGAGAUCUGGAGGAAUACCGGUGGCGAAGGCGG